rnacentral:rRNA from 1 species
UACGGAGGGUGCGAGCGUUGUCCGGAAUCAUUGGGCGUAAAGGGCGCGUAGGCGGUGCCGUACGUCCGUUGUGAAAUCGCUCGGCUCAACUGGCGGGUCAGCGGAUACGGUGGCACUUGAGCAAGCUAGGGGGCAAUGGAAUUCCCGGUGUAGUGGUGGAAUGCGUAGAUAUCGGGAGGAACACCAGUGGCGAAGGCGGUUGCCUGGGGCUUUGGCGUGACGCUGAGGCGGCGAAGGCAUGG